rnacentral:ncRNA from 1 species
UCCAUUCUUCUUAGAAGCACAAGCGGCUCCUAGCCGCACGAAACACAUCAAUAACAGGUCGGUGAUGCCCUUAUGUGUCCGGGGCCGCACGCGCGCUACACUGAAGGAAGCAGCGUGUUUUUAUCCCUGUCUGUUAAGACUAGGUAACUUGCGGAACCUCCUCCGUGAUUGCGAUAGGGGCUUCCAAUUGAUUAUCUUGAACGAAGAAUUCCCAGUAACCUCGAGUCAUAAGCUCGUGUCGGUUACGCCCCUGCCCUUUGCACACACCGCCCGUCUCUACUACCGAUUGAAUUAUUUAGUGAAAUUUUCGGACCGAUAGCCGGAGCGGCCUUUCGGUUGCGCCGGUGUGUUGGAAAGAUGACCAAACUUGAUCAUUUAGAGGAAGUAUAAGUAUUGUAGGGUGUGCGCAAAAAUUCAUCUUUA